ensembl:snRNA U6 U6 spliceosomal RNA
GUGCUCACUGCGGCACCAUGUAUCCAAAAAAUUGGAACAUACAGAAAAGAUUAAACAGCCCCUGCAAAAGGAUGACAUGCAAAUAUGUGAAGUGUUAUCAUGUUUU